GUCGAGAAUCAUCCACAAUGGGCGAAAGCCUGAUGGAGCGACGCCGCGUGGAGGAUAAGGUCUUCAGAUUGUAAACUCCUGUCAUGUGAGAACAAGGUUGCAGGGCUAAUACCUUUGCAAAUUGAUGGUACCACAAGAGGAAGAGACGGCUAACUCUGUGCCAGCAGCCGCGGUAAUACAGAGGUCUCAAGCGUUGUUCGGAAUCACUGGGCGUAAAGGGUGCGUAGGUGGCGUGGCAAGUCAGAUGUGAAAGCCCGGGGCUCAACCUCGGAAUUGCAUCAGAUACUGCCAUGCUAGAGUACUGAAGGGGUGACUAGAAUUCUCGGUGUAGCAGUGAAAUGCGUAGAUAUCGAGAGGAAUACCAACGGCGAAGGCAGGUCACUGGGCAGUUACUGACACUGAGGCACGAAGGCCAGGGUAGCGAACGGGAUUAGAUACCCUAGUAGUCC
rnacentral:rRNA from 1 species